UAUAAAGCCACCCGCCCUGCAUACCGUCCAACACCCUACCACGAUCGGCGCCGCCGUAGCUGCUGCUGCUCAUGCUUCCUCUGGACUACUCUAGUCGUCAUCAUUCUCCUCGUCCUCGUCGCAAUUACGGGCGGCGUCCUAUACGUCCUCUACCGCCCCCAUCGCCCCUCAUUUUCUGUCUCCUCUCUACAAGUCUCCCAAUUCAACCUCACUUCCUCCUCUAAGCUCACCUCCAAAUUCAACCUCACCGUCACAACUCGUAAUCCCAACAAAAAGAUUACCUUCUAUUACAAUCCAAUCACGGUUUUAAUCACCUCAAACGGCGUUAACGUCGGCGCCGGUUCAAUUCCGGCCUUCACCCACGGAACCAAAAACACAACUACUCUGAAAUC
rnacentral:lncRNA from 1 species